rnacentral:lncRNA from 1 species
GUUAGAUCGCUGGUCUCCCUCUUCAUUUUCCAGUCAAUAAACAAGAGUGAAAAACUUCCUUGCAGCAGAUCCUCUCCAGUGAUGUCUCCCACAGCAUUAUUCAGUCAAUGUCCUCAGCAGGCAAUGAUUCAGGAUGCACUGGGCCUGAAGGAUCCCAGUGCACUUAUGAAUACUUCAAUUCAUUACUGGAACGAAUUCUUUUCCCAAUAAAUCAGGAGGUAAGUCUAACAGAAGUCAAAGUUCAGAAUUAUUAUAGACAAGAAAAGAAUGUGUUUUUUCUUUCUUUCCUUUUUUUUUUUUUUUUUUUUUCUUUCCUCUUAGAAAUGCAAUUGUGUUAUUAUAUUUGUUAAAAAACAUUUUGAUGUGCUCUCCUUUAUGGGACCAAUGUGUCUAUAUAUAUUUGAAAUGAACCAAUUUUAUUCAUGGCUCUAUACUGAUUAUAAGGAAAGACUCUGGGAGAGGGAAACUGCAGUUCUGAAAGGCAGUCACAAGCCUUCUAGAAGUUGCACUCUUGCUAAACUAGUAAUUAGUAGGUAAUUUCAUGUGUUACUGAGUGAGGCUGGUAAGGUGUGGGUUAUGAGGGAGAUAUAAUGACGACUUCUGGGCUUGUAACUCAUAUUUCUUUCUGUUCUUUUGCUUUUUAUGGAGGUUAUAACUGAAGCUAAUUUUCUAUGGGUGUUGUAAUAUCCAAAUAGAGCACAUGACUGAGAAAUGCUGUAAGUUUAAAGUAGGUGCAGCUAUAAAGAGACUAGAGGAAAGAGACUACAAAUGUGUUAACAUCUUGGGGGAGGAGGGCUCCAAAACCUGGACAGCUGGAAAUAUGAAGAUAGAGGUGUUGAGGGGUAUUACAAGAAGGCUGAGGAAACCCUAGGAAAGAUGGGGACGUAUGAUGCUGUUUAGGCUGCAGCAUAUUUCAGAGGUAAGACAGAUAUGGGAGAAUGUGUUUGCCUAUCUAACUACUUUUAAAGGAGGUCUCAUUCUGCAAGAGGAGGAAGACUAGGAUACUUCUUGAAGUACACCAACCCAGGAGAGGAGAGGGGAGGAGAAGAGAGCCUUCCUGCUGCAGGAAGGAAGAAGGUUAAAGAUGCCAAAGCAGCACACUGGAACAAGUCUUGAUGUCUCAAGUGCAGAGUCUCAUACAUUCUGUGUGUCUUAAUCAGACUGUGCCAGGAACAUAUUGCCUUAUAAAAUAUCAUAGUUUCUGUGACAUGUAGGUUCAGUAUUCUAAGACUGUAUUUUUGAGAAUUAAAUCAAUAAGACUCUUAGGUGAGACAAACUUGUGUAUUUACCUUGAUUAUCACAAAAAGAGUUUUCUGUCCUUCUUGUCAUAUAGAAAAUACUUGAGUCUUGUGGAAUUUCCAAGGAUAAAAUACAGAUCAUUCCAGAAUGAGCAGAAACUGCUGAAAACAUCAGUUUUGAAAACAUUGUUCUCCUUUUAAAACAUUUAGAAACAAUUAAAAUGAUUAAUAGGUUUUAAAAAUAAAUUUCCUAUGGCUUUCA